UGGACUUCAGUAAUGCAGCAGAGCCAAG
rnacentral:sRNA from 1 species